UUCUUCGGUGCGCUCGCCCGCACUGGGCUGCACAACAGCGACCCCAACCUCCUCUCAUGCGUCUCCAGUGCGGUGGAGCAUCAUAUGGCAACCUCCUCCACUGCAUUUGGACCAGUGGAGGCCCUCCCUUGCUCAGGGGAACACCUCAAAACCCUUUUCCUCUCCUCCAGCCCUUCUUUUCUUCGUAGGAUGUGCUUUGACUGACUGAGCGUGUUCAUCCCUAUAUAUUUGAACAAGUUCUUGUUCUUGCAAGCAUUGAACAUAUAUGUUUACCUUGUGCAGUAAUAGUUUUGGUGUCAAGCUAAAUAAAGAGGCAGUCCAAAUGGCUUGAAAUGAGAAGUUUUGUGGGGGCUAAUUGAGGCUUUAUAGAUUCUUUAUAGUUAAGCACUUGUACCUCUGCCUAUCUCCUCUAUUGUGAGCCCGUGGCUGAACCAUACAUUGUUUCAUGUAGACUACUAGCUUGCAUGGGCCUGAAGAAUGGAGUAAUUUAGCAAGUAGGAAUUCUGUUUUUUCUUGCAUUAGCUAUUGCACCUCUAGUUUGUUCUAUUGUGUCCUGGACAGUGAGGGAAAUUGAAGGAAGUAUUUUGUAUUUCAUAAUUUUCUGGGUUAAUAUGCCUAAUUUUCUGGGUUCAUAUAUUUCACUUGUUCAGCUGUGGUAAUUAUCUUGGUUAAUAUGCACAGCGUAGCCUGUUUCACUCACUAUUUUUUUAGUGUUUGAUUUGAUAGGUAUAGCAGAGAAGUGAAUGUAUGACGGUGAUGUCGAUUGUUGGCUGCUGGUGUGAACCAACAAAUAUGCCGCAGUUGAUGGAAGCGUCCAAGUUGAGCCAGGUCAGCAAGUCGUGAAUCUGAACAACCCUGUUUCAUAAGUGCACUCUGAAUGAUGUUGUUGGCCUGAAACUAAAGGCCAAUUAAGCAAAUGCCUUAAAUAAUGCGUGUUCACUAGCAAGGUAAUAAUGGUAUGCUCCGACCACUUGAUACUUCAUUCCAAUAUUUUUGAAUGAUACAUACAUCUGUUGAUCAAGAUAUCUUAUAGCCACGAUUACUCCUAUUAUCGCUGUAGUACAUGGGUCAGCAUAGUUAAUUUAAGUAACAAGAAUCUAGUUGAUGUCAUUAAGCAUAACUAGGAUGUAUUGAACCGGAAUUCUAAUUAUCUCUGGGGUCAAGUAGAACAUGUUUGUUUCAUGUUCUGUAUGAGGUUUGGCCACAAUUCAGAAAAUCAUUGAUCCCACUAACUCUCUCUUUUACGUGUUAAGAGCUAACAUGUAUUUUCGUAGUCGUACUUCUGCCUUCAGAGGAUUUUGGACAGCCAGAUCAAUAUCAACUAGAUAUUCUGGGCAAUGGAGUUGGAACUUGCCUCUCACAGUUAUUCUAUUCGGUAUACCAUGUGUAGUGUGUUCUCUCUAAUAUGUUUUAGUUUUGCAGCAUUGCUUUGCAAUCAGCUAGGACUUUGUUUUGUGAUAUUUAAAUAUACAAUAUAUCAAAGGUUUAUUGGUGAACUGUUUGCAUCUUGCAUAAAUUUGGAAAUUAAUAGCUUAAGGAUAUUCUAGUUAUGGGAAAAUAUGGACCAUGCUUGAAAAGGCAAUUAUAAAAAUCACUACAUUUUGAAAAAUAACUUAGGUUUGUUAUUGGCUAAAGAGAUUUGUUUUUAUAGACGCACAAAAAACUAGGAUCCAAGCAAGUAAUGGAAAUAGAGAUUAUUAAGAAAAAAUUGAUACUACUAUUAUUUGUCUCAGUUUUGGUAAAUGAUAGUGUGAAUCUAACAUCGAACAGACUUCUCAAAAAAUUUAGCAUAUAUGUUUGAAUACGGUUUAUGGUAGCUCAUAGUCUGAAUUUUGUGCUUGCAGGUGCAUUCACAUCACCUUAUCUUGUGCAGGAUAUGGAAAAAUACUUGAUUGUUCUUGCUGCUUUGAAUCUAAUAUAUAACAGUCUUAAGAAGGUAUAUCAACUUUUUAAUCUGUAUACCAUGUGCUUCCUGGCAUCCUUGCUGCUAGGAAACUAAAUAUGUAUAGCACUAGGUGGCUGCACUAUAAUAUUGUUUAUUAUGCAUGCAGUAUGACAUUAAAAACAAUACACUUCUUGGCAUAUGUUGUUUUGCUGCUGAUGCAUAUACAUGCUUGCACUAUUAAUAUACAUGCAGUGAUGAUGAAUCAUCUCUCACACAUGCGCAAGCCUUGUUCCUACCGUUGUCACCCUGUAUACAUAUAUAAUGAUUCAUUUAAUUUCAUUUUUGUUUCCUGUUAUAAUAAUAGUACUAUGUCUGUCAAGUGGGCAGCAAGUAUUGUUUAUUAUUUGUCAGCCCUUUGAGAUGUACUUGCAGCAUAAAUAACAUUGAGUUUUAUGCCGCUGCUCGUUGACCUGGUUGGCGUAAAAUUCAAAUGUUCACGUGUUGACAAGUUUACACAUCACGGCGAGGAUAUUAUUUGUUAGUGAUGCCAUUUUGUUGGCAUGUUUAUAUGGCCUCAACUACUACUACUAUAGUACUUGAGUUUUGUGAUGUAUGUUUUGUUUCUUUGUCAUUUGACUUCCAUUUGACAGGCUUUUCUUUGGAUUAAUUUUAAGCAACUUCAUGUUGACUCUCAUUUUAUAGUAGAUGCAAUGUUAUUCUCGUUUGUAGGCACUAUAAGAUUUAAGAAUUUUGGACAACAUUUAGUUCAUUUUUAUGUUUGUUGUAAUUCUCUUAUUUCUAUGAUCUAUUGAUAUCUACAAAUAUCUAAUAAGGUUCUUGUAAAUAUGACAGGGAAGAUUAGGUAGCGAGCUACUUAGUGCCGCCAUCACAAUCAGCCAUGACAUGAUAGUUGCCACAGGAGGACUGACAGGAAAACAUGAAUAACAGCCUUAAUAGCUUAUAUGUUAUGUUGAUGUAAAAUGGGUUGUACCGGUUCCUAACCUUGUUGUCUGAUAUAUUGUCCAUCUAUGUUGUAAGUUAUCACUUCAUAGAAGGAUUUUGUAAACUGCUAUGUUGUAUUUACAUACGGAUGGCUGCAAACUGAAUCAACUGUGUAAUGUUCUGACACAUUGCAAAUACUACCUCUUGGGUAGAAAUUGGCAUUUGGAUUAGUGAGACGCAUUAUGCCAAAAACAUUCGUGGUCAAAAUUAGGCAGAAAUAUAUGGGUUAAA
rnacentral:lncRNA from 1 species